ACGUCCCCUGCCCUCUUCCCAUAUCGGUGCUCAUCUCCUGGGUUGAAGCCGCCGCACAGCCUUCAUCUCCCCGCCCAGCCCCUCUCUCUGGCGAGCUUGACCCGGCGUCGAGCUCUGGCGGUCCUCCUCCGCUGCCACUCGUUGGACCUUGCCCCUGCUGCGCCGUCGAUAGCUCACCACACCCUCUCCUCCCUGGCUCCCGAGCUUCAACCAUGGAGCUUGUCCCCUCUCUGCUCGUCGGUGACCUACGUCUUCUCCAGCCAAGCCGCAGCCAAGCUCAUCUCCAUAGCCGACGCCCCUGCCCUCCUGCUCGCCAUGGCUGGCCAUCGGACGACGCACAGCAACCUCGCCGUUUCUGAGCCCGACCCCGCCAUGGAGCUCACGGCGCCUACUGCUGCUCAGCCUUGGGUGCCGUCGCUGAGCUCGCCCUGCUCCCUGGUGCUUCCUGCUCGCCGUCUCUGGCGAGCUGGCUGUCCUGCCCGUCAUGGUGGCGCGCGCUCCAUCUCCCAUGGCGCCCGGCCGCCCCUCUUUGCUCAUCUUCGCCGUCGGGCUGGUCUCUAGCUCCCUGUGCCCUCGCCUCCUUUCUUUGUUUAUGCUUCUCUCUUCUCCCUCAUCGCUGGUCCACUGUGAUAGCGCAGGUUGUGGUGGUACAUCCGUGGUUGUGGUUUGAGCCAGAGUUUGGUGUGUGCAGGGAUAUUCCUUGGUGCUACAACUGGGAGGUGCUCGCCGAGCCCUGUAUCACUGGUUAAGCGUGCCUGCCCACACCGUCGUCUUUGAUCUCUCGCUCCGGUCUCCUUGUUCUUCAUCGCUUGCCAGGUGUUCGGUAAAAUGGGUGAACCGGUGAACGUCGUUAAUUUUAUGUUUUCGAGUCAAAUUACUAUCUGGUGCUUAUGGGUGUUUUUGUGUGUGAGAUUGGAGAAAGGAGAUCCUCGGAUUUUGUGGAUGAUGAAGUAAGAUCCAUGUGACGUUCGCCAAGUAUUCGGUGGAUUGCUCGAACUAGGAUUCGUUGUCGUUUUCGUGAAUUCGUGUUGUUUUGAUCAUGGUUUAUGCAUCCGGGGGCUCAAGUUGGAUUAUCGACAGCGGGUGCACAAACCACAUGACAGGGGAGAAGAAGAUGUUCUCCUCCUAUAAGAAAAACCAGGAUCCCCAACGAGCUAUCACAUUCGGGGAUGGAAACCAAGGUUUGGUCAAGGGUUUGGGUAAAAUUGCUAUAUCUCCUGACCAUUCUAUUUCCAAUGUUUUUCUUGUAGAUUCAUUAGAUUACAAUUUGCUUUCUGUACCUCAAUUAUGCAAAAUGGGCUACAACUGUUUAUUCACUGAUGUAGGUGUCACUGUCUUUAGAAGAAGUGAUGAUUCAAUACAUUUAAGGGAGUGUUGGAGGGUCAGCUAUACUUAGUAGAUUUUGAUAGAGCUGAACUCGACACUUGCUUAAUUGCUAAGACUAACAUGGGUUGGCUCUGGCACCGCCGACUAGCCCAUGUUGGGAUGAAGAAUCUUCAUAAGCUUCUAAAGGGAGAACACAUUUUAGGAUUAACAAAUGUUCAUUUUGAGAAAGACAGGAUAUGUAGCGCAUGCCAAGCAGGAAAGCAAGUUGGUGCCCAUCAUCCACACAAGAACGUCAUGACAACCGACAGGCCACUGGAGCUCCUACACAUGGAUCUAUUCGGCCCGAUUGCUUACAUAAGCAUCGGCGGGAGUAAGUACUGUCUAGUAAUUGUGGAUGAUUAUUCUCGCUUCACUUGGGUGUUCUUUCUGCAGAAAAAAUCUCAUACCCAAGAGACCCUAAAAGGAUUCUUGAGACGGGCUCAAAACGAGUUCGGCUUAAGGAUCAAGAAAAUUAGAAGCGACAACGGGACGGAGUUCAAGAACUCACAAAUUGAAGGCUUCCUUGAGGAGGAGGGCAUCAAGCAUGAGUUCUCUUCUCCCUACACGCCACAACAAAAUGGUGUAGUGGAGAGGAAGAAUAGAACUCUAUUGGACAUGACAAGAACCAUGCUUGAUGAAUACAAGACUUUGGAUCGGUUUUAGGCCGAGGCGGUCAACACCGCUUGCUACGCCAUCAACCGGUUGUAUCUACACCGAAUCCUCAAGAAGACAUCUUAUGAACUCCUCACCGGUAAAAAACCCAAUAUUUCAUAUUUUAGAGUCUUUGGUAGCAAAUGCUUUAUACUUGUUAAAAGAGGUAGAAAAUCUAAAUUUGCUCCUAAGACUGUAGAAGGCUUUUUACUAGGAUAUGACUCAAACACAAGGGCAUAUAGAGUCUUUAACAAGUCCUCUGGACAAGUUGAAGUUUCUUGUGACGUUGUGUUUGAUGAGACUAACGGCUCUCAAGUAGAGCAAGUUGAUCUUGAUGAGAUAGGUGAUGAAGAGGCUCCGUGCAUCGCGCUAAGGAACAUGUCCAUUGGGGAUGUGUGUCCUAAGGAUUCCGAAGAGCCUCCAAAUGCACAAGAUCAACCAUUCUCCUCCAUGCAAGCAUCUCCACCAACUCAAAAGGAGGAUGAGGCUCAAGUUGAUGAAGGAGAAGAUCAAGCAAAUGAGCCACCUCAAGAUGAUGGCAAUGAUCAAGGGGGAGAUGCAAAUGAUCAAGACAAGGAGGAUGAAGAGCAAAGACCGCCACACCCAAGAGUCCACCAAGCAAUCCAACGAGAUCACCCCCGUUGACACCAUCCUCGGCGACAUUCAUAAGGGGGUAACCACUAGAUCUCGUGUUGCCCAUUUUUGUGAGCAUUACUCUUUUGUUUCCUCUAUUGAGCCACACAAGGUAGAGGAAGCACUACAAGAUUCGGAUUGGGUGGUGGCGAUGCAAGAGGAGCUCAACAACUUCACUAGGAAUGAGGUAUGACAUUUAGUUCCACGUCCUAACCAAAAUGUUGUAGGAACCAAGUGGGUUUUCCACAACAAGCAAGAUGAGCAUGGUGUGGUGACAAGGAACCAAGCUCGACUUGUGGCCAAAGGAUACUCCCAAGUCAAAGGUUUGGAUUUCGGUGAAACCUAUGCACCCGUAGCUAGGCUUGAGUCAAUUCGCAUAUUAUUGGCCUAUGCUACUUACCAUGGCUUUAAGCUUUAUCAAAUGGACGUGAAAAGUGCCUUCCUCAAUGGACCAAUCAAGGAAGAGGUCUAUGUUGAGCAACCUCCCGGCUUUGAAGAUAGUGAGUACCCUAACCAUGUGUAUAAACUCUCACUACAACACAUAUAGCCUUCUAUGACGAAUACCUUGUGACAAUAGAUCAAAAUGUCAUAAGCCUCUCCUACUUAUGACGUUUCGUAGGGGAUGAUUGACUUUAGUGAUGAAAAGUAAAAAUUUGUCAUUAAGACCAAUGCAAAAUCGUCAUAAAUAUGAAAGGUGUCACAUUUGUGACGAACACUCUUUCAAUCUUAUGACAAUUAGGUAGUGUCACUAUUUCAUGACAAUGUUGGUCGUCAUAAUUCUCAUGUGAAUUUCCUAAAAAAGCAAAAAUAUAGACGCCACUACAAAUAAUGAAAUAAAUCAAAAUGAUUAUGAAAUAAGUUUGAAUAUGAAAUCAUGUUUAAAUAAAAAUUGAUUAAGCUUGAAUUUCCCACAUGUAUUGUUCUAUAAAUAUAUUACUACAGACUUAGAUCUAAUAUAUUCAUGAGUAAUUUGUUAUAUAAAAAUAGCUAAAAUGAUAAUCAAACUAUAAAAUAGGAACAAUUUAAAAUUAAAAAUUUGGAGAAAACACCAAGCAAACAAUGCAAAAAUGACAAAAACAAUUUUGAAAAUAAAUUUUUUGCAGAAAACAUGAACCCACAUAGAAAAUAGAAACAACUUUAAAAUAAAAAAUUUAGAGAAAACACCAACCCACAUAAACUAAAAACAUAAACAUUUUUUAGAAUAAAACCUUUGGAGAAAACCCUGGACGUAGACUAAAAAAUAGAGAGUUAAAACUAAAAAAGUAACUAUUAAAAAGAAAUGAAGAAUUGAACCUAGGACCUGCUACUUAUUAAAUCACAUGGCUACCAGUGCGCCACAAACAAGAGUGUGAUUAAUACUUUGAUACAGUACAUAUUAUUACGUAUUAUUGACUUUUGUGUGGUCUCAGCUCCACGUAUCCAUCCAGCGCCCUGUACCUCAACAACAAAUUCUUUCACGCCGCCGCAAUUGAAUCAAGAGGCAGCAGCCUCCCUCUCUCGUGACAUCGCCGGUGGUACCAAUUUGGGCGCCAUUGAGGGUGACUACGCCACCUCGCCUGUGCCCUCGCACUCGCAGGUAAUUGCGGUGGUGCCAAUUUGGGCGGCAGUGCAGCUGGUGACGCCUCCCUCGUAGCUCCACCCACAGGUUACUGUCUUGCUCAGAUCUGCCCUCAUUAUAGAAGCAACAUCGACUUGCGUGCCCACGACACAAGCUCGUGUCAGUGCUACUGCCACCAUCCCUCCACAGCACAGCCACGCUGCCUGCCUCAUGUGUCACUACUGCGUCCUAUCCUGCCACACCGGAUAGAACUUCUACAAGAUGGAUAGAUCUUGGAUCAAAGACAGACUAUUUAGCGAUGCACAUUUGGAUGGGGUCAAAGAGUUCAUGAAUUUGGUUUCACAAAGAUUUGAUAAGAAUGAGGAGGUACUAUGUCCAUGUCGAAGGUGUCUGAAUCGAGUUCAUCAACAUAAGGGGGAGGUGUAUGAUCAUUUACUUAUUCAUGGGAUGACUAGCACAUACACUAGAUGGGUACAUCAUGGAGAACCAUUUGAGGCUGAAAUUAAUGAAAAUUAUGAUCAUGUAGAUGAAUAUAUUGGUAUCAAUGAGGAUGACGGUAUGAACGAGAAUGAAGAAGAUGAGCCUGAUAAUAGAAUUCCUGAUAUGAUUCGGGAGUUGUACCCAACUAAUGACCAAGGUAGAGGGAAAUCUAUGUUUGCAGCUUUAUUAGAAGAAAUGAAGCAUGAACUUUACCCUGGAGCACCUUACACACGUUUUUCUUUUUUGGUGAAGUUACUUCAUAUCAAGUCAUUUUAUCGAAUCAGCAACGUUGCAUUCACUGCAAUACUAAAACUAUUAUCAUCAGCAUUCCCAGAUUGCUCUCUUCCUGCAUCUUACCAUGAAGCAAAGAAUGUUAUUAAUGCGUUAGGACUUGGAUAUGACUCAAUCCAUGUCUGCCCAAACAAUUGUGUUCUAUUUCGAAAGGAAUAUGCAAAACAUGAUGAAUGUCUGGUUUGUGGUGCAUCAAGAUGGAAAGAUAGUACAGAUGGAAAAAAACAUAUUCCUGAGAAAGUACUACGACAUUUUCCAAUUAUUCCAAGGUUGAAAAGGUUCUUUGCUUCCAAAAAAAUAUCAGAGGAGACACAAUGGCAUUUAUUGAAGAGGAAGGCAUUGGAGAAUGAACUAAGCCAUCCAGCUGAUGGUGAGACAUGGAAAGAUUUUGAUAGAAAAUAUGAGUGGUUUGCAAAAGAUGGAAGGAACAUUAGACUUGGUCUUGCUACUGAUGGUUUCAAUCCAUUUGGCAAAAUGAACUCUUCAUACAGCAUGUGGCCUAUAUUUAUUAUUCCUUACAACUUUCCUCCAUGGGAGUGUGUGGAGCAAUCCAACUUCAUGAUGGGACUACUCAUUCCUGGUCCAUCAUGUCCAGGAAAGGAUUUAGAUGUUUUUUUGGAGCCACUCAUUGAAGAGUUGCAAGAGCUUUGGAAAGGUGUCUCUACUUUUGAUGCGUUGACAGGAAAAGAUUUUGAUCUACAUGCUGUUGUUAUAUGGUGCAUUCAUGAUUACCCAGCUUUGAGUACAUUGUCAGGUCGAGUCACUAAAGGUUAUUAUGCUUGUGUGCAUUGUGACAAAAAUCCAUGCUCUAGAAGAAUAAAAAAUAAGAUAUGCUAUAUUGGCCAUCGACGUUUCCUUCCAUGGGACCAUAUAUGGAGGACAAAGAAAUGGUUUGAUGGUAAGGAGGACCAUCUUGAAAAACCAGAGGAAUUUAGUACAGACGAGUUGAUGCAGCAGUUGGAGAGGGUCAAGGAUGUUAGGCCGGGACAACAUCCUCAAAGUAAAAAGAGAAAGCGAGAAGUAGAUGGUCAAUGUUGGAAACGAAGAUCAUCAUUGUGGGAUUUGCCUUAUUGGUCAAAUUUGAAGCUACGCCAUAACCUUGAUGUGAUGCACAUUGAAAAGAAUAUAUGUGAGUCCAUUAUUGGUACAUUUCUUGGCAUUAUUGGGAAGACAAAGGACACUAUUAAUGCUAGGCUUGACUUGGAAGAAAUGAGCAUAAGGAAACAUUUGCAUUUGAAGCGUGAUGGAAAUUCCUACACUGUUCCUCAUGCCCCCUAUGUAAUGAAUAGGAGCCAAAAGUUAGUUUUUUGUGACUUCUUGAGAAGAGUAAAAUUUCCUGAUGGGUAUGCUUCUAACUUAGCAAAAUCUAUUACUAGUGAUGGAUGUAACCUUCAAGGAUUGAAAACUCAUGACUGUCAUAUCCUACUCCAAAGAAUUUUACCUGUUGCUAUCCGAGGAAUUAUGCAUAGGGAUAUAUACGAAGCAAUUGCCGAAUUAGGUAAAUUAUUUCAACAAUUAUGUGCUAAGACUCUAAAGUUAGAUGUUUUGCAUACAAUGAAAGCUAAAAUCCCAGUCAUUUUGUGCAAACUUGAGAAAAUAUUUCCUCCUGCUUUCUUUGAUGUAAUGCUACACCUAGCUGUUCAUUUGCCUGAUGAGGCAAUCCUUAGAGGCCCAGUACAAUAUGGAUGGAUGUACCCAGUAGAAAGACGAUUGUUGACAUUGAAACGGUUUGUGAGGAACAUGGCAAGACCUGAAGGAUCCAUUGCAAAAGCAUAUGUCGCUAAUGAGUGUUUGACAGCAUGCUCAAGGUACUUUGAUGAUAUUGACACACGACACAAUCGUGAAGGAAGGAACAAAGAGCGUGUUGAUUUGAGAAAAGGUGAUUUUUCUGUGUUCCAGCAUGGAGUUGAUCUACUUGGAGCACCAAGGCUUACAUAUCUUGAAGAUAAUUAUGACAGAAUGGUUUGGUUUGUGCUAAACAAUUGUCCGGAGGAUAUACAAGGAAGAGUUAGCGGAUCAAGGAACUCCUUAUGUUCAAAAAACCCAUGAUAAGCAAUUUUCUUUCUGGUUUAAGAAGCAUAUUGCAAAACUACGUUACGUGGAUGGAGAAGACAUUAGUGAUGACCUAUUUGCAUUGUCAUGUGAACCGGACCUUCGGGUUCGAAUAUUUUCAGCAUGUCUUGUCGAUGGGGUUCGAUAUCACACUAUUGACCGUGAAAGAAAUAGAAGAACACAAAAUAGUGGAGUCAUGUGUGAGGGUUGCCAUGGUGACGAAAAUAUCGAAUUUUAUGGUCAAUUGAAAGAAAUAAUUGAGUUGCGUUAUAACUCAGAUAUGUCCAAAUGUCGCACAGUGGUUCUAUUUCGUUGUGACUGGUUUGACACUUAUAGCAAGAAGGUUAGAAUGAAAGAUGAUGGAUAUUUUAGAAGCAUCAACCAUGGUAGUUGUUGGUACAAGGAUGAUCCUUUUAUUCUAUCAACACAAGCAACAAAAGUAUUUUACUUGGAUGACACUAAACACUGUGAAAGCUGGAGAAUUGUUCAAAAGUUUACACAUAGGCACUUAUGGAAUGUCACUGAAAAUGAAAAUGAGGAAACACCCAUGGGCUUGGGACUAUCAUACCAAGAUGAAAUAUGUGCAGGUUUUCAUGUACAAGUGAAUGAAGGAAAUUUGAAUGAUGAAGUACCGGAUAGUGAAGAUUGUCACCACGUCAAUACAAGUUUAGUUGAUGAGUUUCGUAAACCAAGGCAAGACAAUGUGCAAGGAGACGGGACAAGCGAUGAUGAAGAUGAAACUAUAUGGCAAUAUGUUAGUGAUGAUGAAAGUCCAACAAUUCUUGUCGAGGAUGAUGAUGAUGAUAGCGAUGCCGAGUAAAGACUAGAAAGUUGAUGGUGGAAGCGUUGCUGACCUAUAUGGAUCUUGGUCAUGAAAAUGGUGACCCACAUGGAUAUUGGGUCACUAUGAUAGGAUGGUGGCAAUUAGUGUGUGCUAGGAUAUUAAAUUUUAUUCUAGAUUUUGGGAUGUCCUAGGUCUUUUAGCUCGGACAAAGUCUAUGCUUGUGUCAAAUAUUUUUAUCUUUCUCUAUAUGUCUACAGACGAAGAAAUUAUAAUAUGUCAGAACUAUAAUAUGAAUGAGCACCAAUUCAUUGAUUUUAUUCAGAAAUCAUAGUAUCCCUUUUUCCUGGGCAUAUGUUUCACUUAAUAUUGUUUUAGUGUAGGCUGAGUGAGGAAUUGAGGAUGCAUGCAGUAUGAAUAUGUGUAGGCAAUCUGAAAUUCUGAAUAUGUGCACGCAAUCUAAAAUUCUGAAUAUGUGGAGAUAAUCUAAAUAUGUGUAGGCAAUCUGAAUUGAUUUUAGUCUUCUGGUGAUAUUCACUUGUGCCAUUGAAUAUUCACUAGUAGUGUCUGAAUCAGUUUUCACUUGUUGGCACUGAAUCUUUGGCCAAACAGUGGUGGCAUGCUUUGACAGAAAUUAUCUUUGGCCAAGCAGUGGUGGUGACACUGAACACAUGGCAGCAACUAUGACAUAAAUUGUCUUUACUGUUUGUAUUGGUGUGCUGCUUCGACAACAAGUCUCAUUUCUAUUUCUUUUGUGCUACUCCAAUCUCUUUUGACGCCUACACAAAUAUGUGCAGAAAACAGUCUCCGAUCUAACAAAAAAUGACAUAUAUGUACAUUCCUGAAAUAAAUCUUUUCUAUAGUUCACUUGUCAUAUUUGCAGUUCACUUAUCAGACAAUAGUAGUUUCAUUUCAUUUGCUUAUCAGACAACAGUUUGUGUUAUAUUAUUUCAUGGUUGUAAAGUAGUAGCAGUUAUUCGAAAUAGUAUACAUGGCAUCCAGUACUAUGACCAAGCAAUAUUACUCCUUCAGAAUUUUCCUUAUUUAUUAGGUAACUGAUGAGUUGCUCUAGUUCUAACGCAUCCUUCAACAAGACAAUACAUAUGAGAAAUACAGAGACCAAGAAUAUGGAAGAAGUUUAAAGCAAAGACAAAGCUGGGUAGUGAUCCAAAGUAGUACUGCUUCUUUCAUUUCAUUUAUUAGCUCAUCUUGCCUUCCCACUGAUGCACAAGUAGAAUGAACUAUUUUGUGUUUGUUAUGUUACCAAAAAGAGCUGUGCCUAGGAGCUUUUCACUGCAGCCCACCAGAAUUGAAACUCUUUCAAAAACCAUGCUGCUUCUUGGACUUGGACUGCAACUAAAAUCCAAUCUGUUCAUAGCAUGUCUUAUGCACAAAACAAAUAGUCAGAUCUGAACGCCACCAAGGUUUGCAAUAGAGGGUUGAACAUAAUCCAAUCUGUUCAUAGCAUGUCUUAUGCACAAAACAAUUAUUCAGAUCUGAACAGGAACAAAAAAAAAUUUGGCGACCAAGCUUUGCAAUAUAUAGUCUCAUUUUUUUAAAAAAAGGGCCUGAUGAUAUUUCUUUCAUGUGUUUUCACAUUUACAGGGUGAGUGACAAGAGCAUUGUGUCCACAACAGCCAAACUUUUUUUUGUCUCUCUCUCUGUGUGUGUGUGUAGUGUUUGAAUCUGCCAGAGAAUCGAUGGCUGGUUUCAAGAAAUGACGAGCAGGUGGGAUGAGACUGCAAAAGGCUUCCAUUCUUGGCCGGAAGAGGAAGACAAAGCUGCCUGAAUGAGUUUUAAGGUGAUGUGCGCUGCUUUGAUUUGCUAGCACCGUGAGCAAAAGAGAAAAGUGAAUGGCAGAUUAAAUCUGGAUGUACUAUGAUCUGCUGUACAUUGUGCACUUGUGUACAUCAGCUCUGAUCAGUCCGUCCUUUGUAAGGAAAAUGAACACUGUCUUAAAUCAUGAUAUCCUGUUUGGAGCAGGUGUCAUGAUUUUCAGCAGGGUAUCUUGAAUGAGUUUG